UUUUAUUUGAGAGUUUGAUCCUGGCUCAGGAUGAACGCUGGCGGCGUGCCUAACACAUGCAAGUUGAGCGAUUUACUUCGGUAAAGAGCGGCGGACGGGUGAGUAACGCGUGGGUAACCUACCCUGUACACACGGAUAACAUACCGAAAGGUAUGCUAAUACGGGAUAAUAUAUUUGAGAGGCAUCUCUUAAAUAUCAAAGGUGAGCCAGUACAGGAUGGACCCGCGUCUGAUUAGCUAGUUGGUAAGGUAACGGCUUACCAAGGCGACGAUCAGUAGCCGACCUGAGAGGGUGAUCGGCCACAUUGGAACUGAGACACGGUCCAAACUCCUACGGGAGGCAGCAGUGGGGAAUAUUGCCCAAUGGGCGAAAGCCUGAUGCAGCAACGCCGCGUGAGUGAUGAAGGCCUUCGGG
rnacentral:rRNA from 1 species